rnacentral:lncRNA from 1 species
GGGAUUUUACUUGUGACGUUAUUUAAGUUAUGACGUCAUGUUCAAUGUAAACAAAGAAACGCAAUGCAUCAGGUAACGUUUAUUCAUACCAAAGACAAAGAAUGAUUAAAAAUGAAAUAUUAGUAUUGAGGGGGGAUAGGAGGGGUCUUGAUCCCGAAAUCCCAGACUUGAAAAAACGAAAACCCGAGGUCCCGAAUUAAAAUAAAGCAAAUCCUGACAUUCGAAAUCCGAAGAAAAGGAUUCCCGGAUCCCGAAAGUGUCAAUCCCGAAAUCCCGAGCUUAAAAACACCCGAUCCCGGAGUCCCGAUAAAGGUCCUAUCCCCCCUCAGUAUUGUGUUCCUUGAGUUCCUAUAUUUUACUAGACUAAUCAAAGUCUCACGACAACAAGACCGGAAGAAGGAAGUAGAGUUAUGUGUUCUGCGCAGAUCCGGAAAUUAAAAUACGCGACAAAAAAAAAUUGAACGAUUUUGAGUUCAUUAGUACAAUGAAAUAUUCGGGAAAUUUUCCCGAUUUUUUUUUUUUUUUUUUUUUUUUUUUUUUUUUAUUGAAUUUUCUACUGUAAUAGGGGACUUUGUCCCCAUAUUAU